GUGUCAGCAGCCGCGGUAAUACAGAGGUCUCAAGCGUUGUUCGGAUUCAUUGGGCGUAAAGGGUGCGUAGGUGGCGAUGUAAGUCGGAUGUGAAAUCUCCGGGCUCAACCUGGAAACUGCAUUCGAUACUGCGUUGCUUGAGGAUUGUAGAGGGCAUUGGAAUUCAUGGUGUAGCAGUGAAAUGCGUAGAUAUCAUGAGGAAGACCAGUGGCGAAGGCGAAUGCCUGGGCAAUUCCUGACACUGAGGCACGAAGGCCAGGGGAGCAAACGGGAUUAGAUACCCCUGUAGUCC
rnacentral:rRNA from 1 species